rnacentral:miRNA from 1 species
UCUUUCACCGGCCGGGAGGAAUCCCUCUCGGCCGAUGAGAGUGUACACUCUCAUCGGCCGGGAGGAAUUACUCUUUAACUGGCCGAGAGGAAUCCCUCUUGGUCGAUGAGGUACACUCUCAUUGACCAAGAGGGAUUCCUCUCGGCCGGUGAGAGU